UUAAAGACUCAUGUACUUACAUAUUUAAAUUAAUAAUAUGAAUUAAUUGAAUGUUUGUGUUACUUUUGUAUUAAUCAAAAUUUUGUGUUAUUUUUGUAGUUAGGUUGAUUAUGAUGAUCCAUAUUAUCCCACAUGGCUUCACAAAUUCGUUCAAGAUCCGGUUGCAAAGAUCACACAUCACCUAUGUAUUUCAAAUGUGGCUUUACUUUCAUACUUAUGAAUAUGGAAAACGUUGGGUAACAAGGAAUUACGGAAUGUGUGAAAGGUGAAAAAGAUUUCUAUGGGAUCUUGCAAGAGAUUAUUGAAGUAGAAUUCUCUGGUUAGUAAGAUGAAAUGUGAUAGGCCAUGGAUUUUACCCACUUUUAGCCAUGGUUUAUAAAUGUUUUAAUAUAUAUUUACUACGAUAUAGAGUCUAUUUAGAGUGUUUACAGGUUCAGGGACGAUUUGGAAGAAAGUGGUGAUUUUGGUGUCUUUUGGAGCAUUUUGAAUGCAGAGCUGCAAAGACGCGUCAGAUGUCUAGCUAUGGAUGAAGACCUUCCCAACGUUAUAUUGAACUUUUAGUUAAAUUUCCAAUGCCACCAGUUUGAGGUCAAUCAGCAUCCUAUAGCAGAAGUUAUGCCCGUUUUACUGAAAAGUGGUCAGUCUGCCUCGCGAGAGGAAGCUGUCGAGGAGACUGUCGAUCGACGGUUUACCCUUGGUGUCGAUCGACGGUGAUGCCAGAAUACGGGCCGAGCAUAUUUUAUGACUGACUGAAGCCCAGAAGCAACUACAAAUUACCAGAAUACCCUUAGACGACCUAAAACCCUAUUUAUGUAUUUUCUAAGCCAUUGUUGACGGCUACACUUUCUUUUAUUGAUUGUUCUUAGUUAGGAGAGAAGGGAGGAACUCCUUCAGAGUCCUCUUGGAACUCCAUUGGUUUUGGUUUUAAUAUCUAUUGCAAUUUCUUCUAUUCAUCUAUGAUUUCUAUGACAACUAUCAUGUCUGAGUAGAUCCACCUGCUAGAUCUAGGUUUUUUAGGGUUUUGAAUGAACUUCUGAAUUAUAUGAUUGUUAGGAUAUCUAUAGAUCUCUACACCAGGGUAGCUUGUAAUACUAGGAUCUAGAGUAGUUGGAAAAUCUUGAGAGUGUGACUAAUUCUUUGAACCUAGAAUCAUAGGACAAUUGAGAGGCACAAGAGUGAAAUCAAUUAACGGAACCCGAAUCCUAUUGGAUUAGAUACCUAGGCGCAUACUAGCGUUGGUCUAGGAAUAUUGUUGAAAAUAAUCGAUCAGAUCGAUAAUGAUUGCCUAAGACCAUUUCUAUCUCAAGCAGACCAAGUUAGCUUCAUCUCAUAUCCCCAGAUCAAAGAUUCCAGAAUUACUUGGUUUUCUGCUAAUAAAAUUACACCUCGAGAUAUAAUUAUCUGUGGAGAUGACCCCCUUUACAACAAGCAUUUGUGUCAAUGCAGUAGAGGCACAUGAACAACAAACCGAUGACAUCCUUCUUAAUGAUUUACAUAACCGUGAAUAUGAAAUUGUCCUGGCGAUGAGACCGAUGAAGAAAAUAAAGACGAGUUUGAUGAAAGUGAUGUACAAUAUUGUGAUGAUAACUUAAAUGAUGAAUCUGAAUAAUGUAAUAUUUUCAUAACUAAUAUUAAUUAAUGUUUCUUUCUGAAAAUAUUAAUAUAUUUCAUUUAUAAAUGAUUUCAGACUCUAAUGAUGAAUUAAGAUUUAAUAAAUGUCUGUGGAAGUUAUGACAAUCAUGUAUAAAUAUAUGAAGUAUUAUAUGGUUUGGGGUUUAGGGAUUUAAGUUUAGGGAUUCAGAAGUGUUCCUCGAAAAAUCGUCAUAAAUGGUAUUUGGCGCAAAGUCCACUUUACAAGAAACACUAGACGUGGCACAUUCUCGUAAAUGGUAUGCGUCGUAAUUGCCUCGUAAAAUGACAACGCCGGAUGUGGUUAAUUUGUCGUAAAGAAAAAACACAAGCUAGGCUAUCGUAAAUUUACGAUGACCUUACGAGGAACCCUAUUUCUAUAUCUAUACUUCGACUCAUUUCACUCCCCCACUUUUCGGCUGUUCCCCUCAAACUCACUUCCACUCGUUUCCCUCGGCAAAAGGCGUAAUUUUUUUUUUAGCUAGUUAAGUUUAGGUGGGAUUUAUAGAGAUUAAGUUGUGGAAUUGGAUUUCAAUUUCUAUAUAUAAUUUUCUAAUUUGAAUUUGUUUUAGAUGGUUCGUAGAAAGGGUCCACCACCACAUUAUAGUGAGACAUUCUGCACUUGAGAUCCCACAUCUAGUUCAUAGGGUCCUUCUACGGCUCCGGAUUUUGUCCCAAAAUCUCAUAAUCAUUAUGACUGGCACAUCCACCUGCACCUCCGGUUCCUCCCUUUUCACCUCCACUCGCUCCUCAUGUGGUUACAAACGAUGCUCCUUAUGUGGUUACAAACGAUGCUCCUCAUGAUCAGGUUACUCCAGACCGUUCUCUUCCUCCCCCUGCAGCGGGAGUACAUCAUGAUUUGUUGUUGUCGCCUGAUGCACUAUACUCUCGUUAUACCGUUGAAGAUCUUUCCGCCCAGCUGGGAUGAGAGGGUUUAGAUGUGUUAGAUCCCGAUCUACCACAUGAAACUUAUAUAUAUAUAUAUAUAUAAACUAUUACUAUGAUUUAAAUAAUAUAUUUUUACAAUAAAUUUAUUUAACUUAUUUAUUAUUAUUUUCCAGGUUUGGGGUAGACGGACAUGUCCAACAGAGUGGUUAGUGGUUUUGACAUGGUCAAAACCAGUUGGUUUAAGUGUUUGGCGGUUAGUACAAAAAUAAAAUUUAAACAGUUAAUUUCUUAAUUAGUAUAAUAUAUAUUUUACCAUUGUUUUCUAAUAUUCAUUCUCAAGAAAAAAUAGAAUUGGUCCACUGGGAUUAACGAGAAGAUUAAGGAAAAAAUUGUAUUGAAGGCAAAGACGUGCCUAUGCAACACCGUCUCCGACUGGAAAGUCAUUUGGGAGCUCAUGGGCUAUGAAGCAAAGCCCCCUCUCUCACAAAAGAUGUAUGGAAUGGUCUCAUCAGCUAUUGAGCUAAAUCCCACUCAGUCCGAAUCGCAGCGGUGCUCCACUACUCGUUCGACGAGUGAUGAGCAUCGACAUUUGUCAAUGGUUCACACUUCAGGCCAAAUAUGCCACUCAGGCGUUUGUCUGCAAAAGCCGCAAAGAAAGGCGGAGAGCAACCAUCGCUUUCUGAGCUUUUUGGGCUACACACUCGCAAGGCAGUCUUUUCGUGGAUCCUAUGUCAGAGAAGAUCCACAAUGACGUGUCUGCUCAGGUUGCAAAAUGCUAGACUCAGCUGAUGCAGCAGUCUCCAGAUGAGUAGCCCGUCCAGUUGUCCAUGCACAAGAUUUUUAGAGAUAAUAUACAAUUUCAUGGUUUUUUUAUUUAGUACUUAACCUUUUUGUAUUUUAAUAAUUUUAUUAUUUAAGUAUUUUUUAUUUUCUUUUGCAGAUUGUCCAUAAAAAGAGGCGGGGGAUAAGAAUAUUAGCGAUAUUCCAUGAUCAACAUCGAUUUAUGCCCAAAGAAGGGAAGAAGAGUCUUCCCGGAUGCGGUCUGAUUUGGAUUCUAUCUAUGCAAGCUCGCAUGGAGUCCUUUGAAUGUCUUCUCGACCUUAUGGCGGACAGAAAUCCAUAGAUGCAGAGGAUGUUAUGGAAUAGACGGGUAGUACUCGGGAUUCCAGAUCCACCUUCCUGAUCCGCGGAUAAGGAGGCAGCUUAGUUAGAGAGAACGAUCACCAGAGACUAGUUCCAAGACGACGACUUCCUCCGCUAGCUUUAUUUUCAGUUUUGUUUUAUACUAUAUAUUUGAAUAUUUUUGUAAAUACUUUUAAUUAUUUAAUAAUAUUUAUUGUUUAAUAACUUUUAUUAUUUAAAAUUUAAUUAUUAAAUAAUUUUAAUAAUUUAAUAUUUUUAUUGUUUAACAAAUUUAAUAUAUUAUAAUUUUUAAAUUUUGGUUAUUUUAGUUUUUUUCUAAAACAAAAAUUCAAUAUUCAGAGAUAAACAUGAAGACCUUACAAUGAAGUACAUGAUAAUUCCUCAUAACUUUUUACAUAUUUUUACUUGGACGUAGAUGUAAAUUUCUCAUAAAAUUUUACAAGGAAUAUAUGAGGAGGUACAUGUAAAUUUGUCGUAAAUAUUUAUGAGGAACUAACAUCGACUUCCUUAUAAACUCGUCGUGUUGACACUAUUUAAACGACGAGUUCACUUCGAAUAUUUACGAGGACUUUACAAUGAAGCCUUACGAGUAAUUUAUGACGAACCCUUUCCUCGUAGGUUAAAGACGAUUUUAACGACGAAUCGAUGUGCCUGAAAUUUAAGACGAAUUUUUUUAAUGGUGUUUUGUGACUAUUUUGAUAUCAUUAUUUAUUCGUUGUAACACUUUAUUUAUGACGAAUUAAUAACAUAUCGUUCAUCGUAAAUCCUAUGUUUUGUUGUAGUGAUAAUUUAAAUAAAAUAUUGCUAAUGUGUUGCUAAAUUAAUAUUACAAAAUAUUAUUUUGUUCAUAUACGUAAUACCAAAUUUGAGUUGGAGUAUGAAUAUAUAUAGAUAACUACGUUAGUGUUAACCGAUAUUAGUACUAAUCAUGCUAUAGGAACAUGAAAAAGAUUCAAUACUAUUAUUAAACAUUAAGUUACAAUCUUUGGUUUCACCAAAAAAAAGGUUACAUCUUUUUGUCUGUUGCAGACGUUAUGUAUAUUACUAGAUUCUAAUCCGCACAUCCGUGCGUAUAACAUUUCAUUUAUAGAUAUAAAAUUUUAUAUUAUUAUGUAUAAAAUAAUUUAUGAUAAUAUAUUGCUGUCAUUUUAAAAAUAACUUAAUAGAUGAUAUAUAGUUUUUUUUUUUUUUGACAGCAAAAAACAUUCACAGACUCAUAUAGACUCUGUAAACCAAGGUGGUAACUCUGAAUCCAUGUGUACGACGAAAGACGGUUGUUGCCGAGCACUACGUGCCAAACUAUUAAAAUGAUAUAUAGUUCUAAAUAUUAAAAUUUAACAUAUGUUAACAAUUUUAUUUUUUGUAAAAAGUAUUACUUAAUUUAUGAUAUUAAUCAUUUUAAAAGGUGAAUGAUAUUUUAGUCACUUUAAACGGUGAAUGAAAUUUUAUUUAUUUAUCUUAAUGAAAUUAUUUUUUAAAAUAUAUUGGUUUACCAAUUCAACAUAAUUUUAAUAUGUUUGCACAAAAAACAUAAUUUUAAUAUGUAAUUCAUUAAUUACUUCUAUUUUAAUAUAAUGUAAAAUAUACUUAUAAAAUUUAUAAAAUUAGCAUAUAAUUUCAUUAUAUUGUUUAUAAUAAAAAAAACUAAUUAAAAUUAAUUUAUAAUAAUAUUAAGCUACUAAUUGCGAAAUUAAUCAGUGCAUUAAUUAAAAGAAUAUUGAAAAUUUAAAAAAAAAAUUGUUAGAUUAUUUCUCAACAGAUUUUGUUAUUCCUAAAACUAAAAUUUAAAUUUAUAGUUAAAAUGAAUUUGUUAUUAAUAUCCUUAUAAUUAUUUAGAAAUGUUAUACAUUAAAUAAACUAAUGUAAACAAUAAAAAAAAUUAUUUGAAUAUAUAGACCUAGACUUCUAGUAUGACUAUUUUGUAGUAGAUAAAAAUGGUACUUCUCUUUUAAUAGGGAAGAUACUAAUGGUUUGUCCGAGUUUGGCGAGAGUUGUUUGUCAUUUUUGUAAUUUGAUUUUGAUUUCAGUUAACAUUGUGUAUAUUGUAUAUUAAUUCUUGGAGUUGCUAACUGUAUAGAUUUGUUAGUUUUCUAUUCUGUUAUUAUUACUAGCCUGAUGGUCGCUAGUUCUCGGGAAAGGAGUUUAUGUGAUAGGUAAUUUGUUUAGGCCUUGAAAGUUGACAUAUUUUUUUAAUAACAUGUUGUUUGUAUUUGUUUGUACUGUGAAUAUUACGAAAUGUAAAUUUGUUGAAGUGUAUUUAUUGACAUAUUAAUGGAAGUAGAUAAAUAAUAUAUUUUAUUAGUUGUUACGUAAACGUGUGGUGACUUUAGUCAAACUAUAUAUUUUCUAUGCAUAACAUAAGAAUAGAAUAAAAAAAGUCAUACUGUCGCACAAAUUGUUGGCCGAUAGCUGGAGCCUGGAGGUAGGCCUGGGACGGAUCCGGAUAUCCGAGAAAUUUGGGAUAUCCGGUUCCGGAUCCGGAUCCAUCAGAUCCGUGAAUUUAGUAUUCAGAUCUGGAUUUGUGGUUUUCGGAUAUCCGAAUUUUGGAUAUACAUCUCGAUAUUCUAUUAUCCGUGGAUAUCCGGAUCCGGAUCUGUAAAAAUAAUUAAAAUAAUAUUUUUUUGAAAAUAAAUACUAUUUUUUUAAUAUAAUACAUAGAUCAAAUAUUUAUAAAUAUAUUUAUAUAUGUCUAUAAUAUUGUAAAAAAUAAAAUAUAAUAUUAUAAGAUUAAUUCAUGUAUAAAUAUUAAUAUAACAAAUAUAAAUACUAAUGAAAUUUAAAAAUUUAAUGUGUUUUAAAAAUACGGAUCCGGAUCUGGAUAUACAGACCUAAAAAUUAAGAUAUCCGGAUUCGGAUUCGGUUUGGACGGAUCCAAAAUUUUACUAUCUGGAUUCGGAUUCGAGCACCCCGAAUAUCCUAUUUUCAGAGCGAAUCCGGAGCGGAUCUCAGAUCGAAUCCGGAUCUCAGAUAAUAAGUUCCAGGCCUAUCUGGAAGUGGUGAAAGCCCUUCUUAGCGUUAUUGUAAUAUAUAUGAAAAUGGAAAAAAUGGCAUAUCUAGAACUUGAGUUUGUCCAAAGUAGAACUUUUAGAAGAUUAUUUAGAAAAUAUGAUUUAAAUUCCUGUUAAUACCAUAAUACCUUUAAAUUAAUAUAUAUAUAUAUUAAUCUGAAUUACAAAUACUAUUACUUUGUAAUUGAUUUAAUAUUUAAAAGGUAAAAACGUGGGAGAAAAUAUAAUGUGCGAGAUUUAUUGUAGAUUUCAUAUAGAUUUACAAAAGAUAUUAACCAAAAUAUGAAAUUUGGCUAUAAUAUGAUCCUACGUAGAGUAGAACAUUGCAUAGUGGGUGACAAAUCUACUAUUCCCUAAGUGUAGAGUUGUCAAGCCUCAGGUAGAUUAACGAUAUCUUGCCAGAAUAAAACCGGACAAAUUAUAGGAAAUGUAGAAUAUAUAAUAAUGUUUUGUUUACUUUAUAUGUCAACGAUAGAUCUGUGUACAAUACUUAGUAUCCGAUUUUCUAAACUAAGUAGAUGGACAUAAUGAGUAUUCUAUUUUCAGAUAAGACAUAAAAUAAAAUAUAAUUUUACUAUUUAAAAAAAAUUAAAGCAUAUAAAUAGUCAUACUUAUGUACCUAAUAAUUUUUUUUUAAUUUUUUUAUAUUUUAAUUUACUAUUUUUCCUAUUACAGAAUGAUAAAAUAUGUUCAAAAUGACCAAAAAGAUCAAAAGUUGUUCCUCAUUUUUCAAAUUCUCUCUAGAAAUGUUCCUUAAACCCUUCUGUGUACUGUGCCUCUCUAUUAUCGUUCUCAAAUUCCAUUUUUGAGUUGUACAUAGUGUUUGUGGUGGAGCUCUGGCAAAUUGGCAUAGUCUGAUGUUCAUGUAAACGGUGUUGGCGUAUUUGGAGGUAAGUGAUCUGACGUACGUGGACAUGGAGGCAGUGGAAGACGUCACUGAUGGAGAACUCAGCCGCUCGACUAAUAAUAUUGCAAUAGCGUAGUUCCAACUAAACUUGGCUGGGAGGUUGUAACUGAGAGCUCAUUUUGUAAAUGUGAGAGUUAACUGCAAUAGGAACUAAACACACAAUAACACAGGGUAAUCUUUCCAAGAAUUACGACUACAUGUCCUUUUAAAAUGAAUUUACGAGUAUCAUUUUUAAAAGCAUUUUUUCAUCAAGAUCAAGACAAACCUUGACUUACUCACUUAUGUUCAAAGACUUGCACCAAAUCUCUUGAACUGCUCAUGUUUCUAACCCUUAGUGUUUUGCUACUCCUUGCUCGGCCUUUCAAAACUUCUCUUAGCUAAAAGCACUUUUUUGUGUUGCCCAACAAAGACAAUUCCAACACCUCUUUUAUAGGAGAACCCUAAGCCUAAUGAUCUACCUAAUGAAAACUUUUCAUUUCCGGUUAUUCAACGAUUAAGCCUAUCUUCCUUAACACAUAAGAUCGAUUGAUUCUUCUCCAAUACUUCCCUCAAGCUGACUCCACGUCUCAUGCUCAUGCUCUGUGUUGUAGUUCAUGUUGCACUUCUUGAACUACUUCAACUUUGCUCCGAUUGUAUAUUUUUUUUUUUUUUUUUUGAAUUAUACAGAGGUAUCCUGGCCUCACAAAAGUGAUCCAGACUAGUCACGUGUUGCCACGUGUCGGUCCUCUGUCCCUGGCGAUGCCGAAAUGUUAAUUCCCCAGUGGCCGGGAUUCGAACCCAGGUGGCGGUACUCACAGCUGUAAGCCCUUUACCACUAGAACUAGAAGCCCCGAUUGUAUAUUUUCACAUUUUUAUUUGAUAGAUUUUAUGAGACCUUGUGGUGAUUUAAUUUGCAACACUUAUCUAACAGUUUUAAGCCUGUUUGAAACCAAGUAUGUCGUUCAAAAUUUUUACUAUCUCAAAAGAAGAGAAAAAAAGACGAUUCGAACGUAGUUGACAGAGAAUCUAAUGUGGUUUAACAAAUAAAGCAGUCCAAGGUUUAAAAGGACAAAUUUUGGUCAGCAGAUAAAAAAGAUUUUGGAGUUUUAUUCGGUAAUGAUUAUGACGAUGCUAGAAAGAAGUACAUAUUGACAUUGAAAAAUGAACAGAUGGUAAAAGAAAGAGGCAGUGAAAAAGAAUAGGCAAACACCAUCAUCGUUCCUUAAUUGCUAAAAAAAUCAAAACUUCGUAUAUUUGUUGCAUCCAUACAUAAAUAUAAAGGCAGAUAAGAGAUAAAAAAUAACGGAGGAUGCCGAAUCUAAGCAUCCCAAACACCCCAUGGCGUUACCUAAUACUUAUGAACAUGGUACGGAUGAUGACGAAUCUUCUUCAUCUGAACUAUUCUUACUUUCUAUAUUCUUUUCAUCACAGAGAAACAGUAAUUCCUGAUGAUAACUAAUAUCUGUAUGGUUUAUGUUUGAAAAUGGUAACAAACCUAGCAUAUUUAUAUAAAUGUUAAUUUUUGUCUGAUGGAAAGGGUUAAAUGUCUUCCUACUCUUAUUACAUUUGACGUACUACUCAGUGCUCUAUUAGAGAAAAAUAGAGUAAAAUAUCAUCAGUUUAUUUAUUUGUGAUGCAAUAGCUUAAGACUGUUAGAUAAGUGUUACAACAUUGAACUCACUUGCUCGAUCACGAGUCUCAGCAUCCCAAACACCCCCAUGGCGUUACCUAAUAUGUACUUCUUUCUAGCAUCCUCAUAAUCAUUACCGAAUAAAGCUCCAAAAUCUUCUUGAGUUUUUUACACAUAGACACUUUCUCAUUUUUCAAUUACACUAUAAGACAUUUUGUGUUUGAGACACACUUUCUCAUGCCAAAAAGACUCUUAUGACCCUAGACUUUAUUAUUUCUUUCAUUGCAUUUAUGUUUUUAAUAUAAAAGUUGUUUCUUCUCAUCACAUGAAUCUCUCUCCUCUUCUUAUUCCACUUUAUGUUUUCAUUUAUUUUUCCUCGUAAAGAUGUCAUACUAAAUUAUACAUAAAAUUAUCUAUCUUUUAAGAUCUAUUUUCAUAUAUAUAUAUAUAUAUAUAUAUAUAUAUAUAUAUAUAUAUAUAUAUAUAUAUAUAUAUAUAUUAACGUGUAAACAAAAUUCAGUGUAGACAUAGACACCAAAGCGUGGAUAGUAGAGUUAUAUACUAGUCGUGGACAUGUACAUCUUAACACGAAGGUCGUUGGCUGAUAGCUUUAAGAGGUUAUUCUUCGCCAUAGUCUCUGGAAAGGAAUAACCCACAUAACCACGUUUCCACCGUUACUCUCACCGUCACCGGCACUGCUGAGGCCACCACCACGAUCGAGCGGUUCCAACUUGCUAAAAAUAUCAUUUUUGGAUGCUGAAGAUUUACCAUGUGACCACAUCCAAUCCAACGCAACUAGCUCCCGAUCUCUGAUAAGACAGCUCUGAUCGAGCUCCAAUGGAUAAGACAUCUCUGAUCGAGCUGUCUUAUCGUAGAUCGAGAGCUAGUUGCGUUGGAUUGGAUGUGGUCACGAGGAAGUCUCCAGCAGAUUGAUGUACAUCAGAUCGAAAGAUGAGACCUUUAGCGAGUUAGAACCAAAACUCGAUCGUGGUGAUGGUGUCGGCCGUGCCGGUGACGGUGGGAGUAACGGUUGAAACAUGGUUAUGUGGGUUUCUUCUUCCCAGAGAAUAUAGCGAACAACAAGCUCUUAAAGGUGUCCAUGUCCACAACUAGUGUAUAACUCUACUAUCCACGUUUUGGAGUCCACGUCCACAAUUAAUUUUGUUUACAAGUUAACAUACAUAUAUGAAAAUGGAUCUUAAAAAGAUAGAGAAUUUUAUAUAUAAUUUAUUAUGACAAUUAUUUUUAUUUAAUAUAUUUUAGAUUUUGAGAAGCAAAUGAAAUAUGAAGUACAAUAAGAAAAAUAAUAAAAAAACUAACAUUCUCAUUUUCUUAAGGGUAUAGUUGUCCAAAAAUCCAGUAGACCCCACAAAAAAGUGUAUCACAAGUGGAAAGUGUCUAUGAAUGUAAAAGAAACUCAAAAUGUGUCCUAAAGAGUAAUCUACUCAUUUUUUGCAAGUACUUGAAACUAUAAGUACUCGUUUUUAACAAACCAAGUACAAGUCCAAAAUUUUAAUACUCGUACAAGCCAAGCCGAGUACUAAGUAUACCGAAAAUACCAAGUACUCGGCUUGUGCCCACCCCUACUAUCAUGAUCUAUCAUCUGAUCUUCUUGAUGAUAAUUAUAUUCAUUAUACAAAUGAUUCAAUUCUUCAUUAUUACCAGCAUCCUCAAAAUUAUUAUUACUACUAAUAUUGUGGUGUAAAUCCUCUGUUUACUAAAUGCUUCCAUACAGUUUCACUAUGUGCAAAUUUUGAAUUCUUGCAUUUCUGACAAGGGCAUAACAUAUUACUGCGUUCCUGCGUGAUCGGUGUAGAGUCCGCUUGGUACAUGAAUGUCUCUAGCCCGCUCAGAAAUGCAUUCGUCACUCUCCCAUCCGAAUCAUUAUGGGAAUACAUCCAACUCUGUAACUCGUAGAUAUUACCGUCAUCCGCCACUUUUUUUAAGAAUUUGUUUUUGGAAUUUUUUUUGGAAAUUGUUUUGGGAAUUGUUUUUUUAUAAUUUUUCUGGAGUUUUGUUUUCUCAAAAAAAAUUUCUUCUUUUCCCUUGUGUGUUGUGAGAGAGUGAGUUGCGAGAAAUGACAUAUAUAUAGAAAUUUUUUUGAGUUUGGUAGGUGAAGUACAACAAUGAUUUUACUAGGGUUUUACAUCUCUCUUACAUCGGUUUUACAAGGAAUUUACAACGAAAUUAGGCAAUUCAAAGCGCAUUGAAUACACGUUUUCACCAAUAAAUACGGUAACAUGUUUCGUCGUAAUAUCCUUGUAAAAUUACGACGAAUAUUUUUCGCGACGUACUUUCAUCGUAAAUGUACAAGGUAUUUACGACGAAACGUUUUCCUUGUAAUUUUACGUCUACGUUAUGACGAAUUUCUAUUUCGUCAUUACGGAAAUGUUUUCUUGUAGUGUGAUUUGAAGUUUUUUUUUUAAUUUGAAGUUAUUCUUAUUGAUCUGAAGUUUUCAUUACAGUUUUGUUUCCUAAAUACAUUCUAUGCAAGCUUAUGCAUUAUAUUUUGUAUUGGAUAAGCUUUGAAAAUUUGCAGCCCAAGAUAUCUCUAACAAGUUGGUUAGGAUAAGAUAAGCUUAAUUUAAUCCUAAUAGUAUUAGACUAUUAGUAAUUAUCUAUUACUAAAAGGAAAAACCAAAGUUCUGCUAGCACAAUAUAUUGUUGUUGAGUUGUGACAAUGAGAUAUAAAAUUUAAUAGUUCAGUUCUGACAGAUUUUAUAAACAUUAAGAAAGUUAUUCUUAUAAAUCCUAAAAACAUGUGAAACUUUUAUCUUUAAGUAUCAAAUGGUUGUCAAACAAAAAAAAGUAUCAUCUAAAUUUCAUCUUAUCUGAUCAAACCAGUUACGAGUAGCAUUAUAUAUAGCAAAUAGAUUAAAGAAAAUUAUCUUAUUUUCACAUGAAAUUCCGUAUUGUUUAAGGCUUGUUAAUCAACCAUCAACCAUAAAAAUAUAUUUAAAGGUUAUGGUUUGUAAAGAUUAAAGAUCUUGUUGUAUAUUAGAUACAUUUGGUGUAGAAUUUUCUUCACACCAAACUAUUGAUAAUGUGUGACAUUGUUGUCUUGUUUUCCUCUUGAAAAGUUUCAGAUCAGAUGGUUAGCUAAGCAGAAACUUCAAUUUUGAUCUUGUGUCCUCUGGUUUUCCAUUCUCUUAUCAUCGCUAAUGUCUUUUCUACUUCAACUUUUUCUUUGUUUCAAUUUUUGAAGACUAUCUUCUCUUCUUUUCUCCUUCAUUGAGCCAACAUUCUGCUUUGUUGGUCCCAUAUUAAUGCCCCAGAUGCUCUUAAUUAUCUCUUGUGAUCGUCUCAGAUGCUCUUGAUUAUCUCCUAUCCAAGUACCUUAACAAGACCCUGCCUGACCUUUCUAGAAUUGCUUCAGAUGGUGUGGUUCUUUUUGCAGGUCUCCCUGGUCAGCAAAUGGUCUUUGGGCAAUAUUUAUGUGUAUGGGCAAUCAUCUACUCUUGAGCAAGUUUUUGGCUGUGAGUUAGGCUCAUCACUAAUAUGGUAUCAGAGCCCAAGGUUUGGCCCAAUAUAUGAUUCUCAUAUAAACAGUUUCCUACCUAUGUAGCCUCUAAAAGUGGCCCAUAUUGCUGUGUAUUUCCGAGAUGUUGGGCUUGGACUAUUUCCAUUGGACCGUUUCCCAUCCACGUCUCGAGGAGGCCUAUUAAUGUUCCACAUCGUUUGGGCAAAUGGUCUUUGGGCAAUAUAUAUGUGUAUGGGCAAUCUUCCACUCUUGAGCUAACUUUUAGGUGUGAGUUAGGCUCAUCACUAAUAUCCAUAAUGAUAAUACUCUUCUUUCCUUCACUCUCCAUUUACAUCAACCCCAUCUUCACAAAAUUUCAUCGUCUUUUGUUGUACUUCGAUUGCAGUUACAUCGUACUCGUCACUCAUUUGCUCUAUUUUUACUGUAAGCAAACUAUUGAUAAGUCCCUGAGUCAAUCACUAUCCAUCACCUGAAAUUCUCUUAUCCUUUUUUCAAGUGAGUGAGAAGCAUUUUCACCAGCUUCUCUGUAUCACUAUAUUUCUUCUUAGGUCUGAUCCUUUGAAAAAAUUGGUCAUGUCAUUUUCACUCUAAUUUGUUCACUCUCUACCUUUUUGUUUUAAUCUAUUAUCUAUUAUAACCAUAUUUAAAAUUACGCUAGGUGUACGCGUGUAGUGAAGUAGCGCCUAGCAUCGAAUCUAUUAUUUAGAAAUUAGACGUUGUUUACUUAAUGAGUAGUUUUAGGGCUUUUAUCUCAUUUCACAAUGAAAUAUAUUAAAUAUGUUAAUUAUUCAAGCAGUUGAUAUAUGGUCAUGUGGUUAGUGUUCGCUUACUUAACGCAUUCACAUUGUAUUCUUCACUCAUUUGCUCUUUGUAGCCACUUUGUACUUUUAUUUUUAUUUUUAGGUUUAAUGAAGUCAAAUGAUUAAAAUGUCCUUGUCUUCAACAAUUCGCCUGCAAAUCUCAUUUUUGUCUUUUCUUUUUUUUUUUUUGCGAUUUCUCUGUUUCUUUUUUCUUAAUCUUGUUAGCUUUAACUGAAAUAUAACAAAUAUAUAACAAAUAUACAAAAUGAUGAACUUUAAAAUUUUCACUAAUGAUUAAGUAACCAAAUAGCAUCAAAUCACCACGCAAGUUUUUUCAGCGACUAUGUGUCCUAGAUGACACGUUUUCGAACAGGGAUUAUAACAUAAGUUUGCAUUCAAACAUUGUCAAGUUAGAUGAACAGAAUAGAGAUCUAUUUACACUGCCCACUGUAUUAAAGGCUUUUCUAACAUUUACAACAGAAGAAAAAAAAAGGCCGACACGCCAAAUCUACUACCCAAACACUGCCUCAUGGUCACCAGAACCAAUA